rnacentral:rRNA from 1 species
AUUGAACGCUGGCGGAAUGCUUUACACAUGCAAGUCGAACGGCAGCACGGACUUCGGUCUGGUGGCGAGUGGCGAACGGGUGAGUAAUACAUCGGGACGUGCCCAAUCGUGGGGGAUAACGUAGCGAAAGCUACGCUAAUACCGCAUACGAUCUAAGGAUGAAAGCGGGGGAUCGCAAGACCUCGCGCGAAUGGAGCGGCCGAUGGCAGAUUAGGUAGUUGGUAGGGUAAAGGCCUACCAAGCCGACGAUCUGUAGCUGGUCUGAGAGGAUGAUCAGCCACACUGGGACUGAGAGACGGCCCGGACUCCUCCGGGAGGCAGCAGCGGGGAAUUUUGGACAAUGGACGCAAGUCUGAUCCAGCCAUUCCGCGUGCAGGAUGAAGGCCCUCGGGUUGUAAACUGCUUUUGUACAGAACGAAAAGGCUCUGGUUAAUACCUGGGGCUCAUGACGGUACUGUAAGAAUAAGCACCGGCUAACUACGUGCCAGCAGCCGCCGUAACAC